CUCUACAGCUUUUCCACAGUGUGUACUGUGAUAGUACUGAAGACUUUUCUUUAUAGCAUCUUUUACUUAACGUGGCCGUAGUAUGGCACACCUCACAUGCUUUGAACCAGAGGGAUGGGAACACAAUGCAACUGUUUGCAUAACCAAACAUUGAAAAUGUAACAAAAUACCAGAGAGGAAGAUACUGCACUGGAAACUGCUAAGAUGAAGUGAAAGUUGAGAACCAAAAGAUGUGACAAAGCUGCGACAUGGAGGAAAAACAACUACCUUGAACUUUGUGCAAACAAGAGCAAUAUAUUACACAGGUACUCAGCAAGGAUCAUGAAGGGAACCCCAAGGUAAGUACAAAGACGUAAGUGUAGAUUUUAGAGUGGCGAUGUUGCAGAAUUAGGCUCAUAUCACUAAGGAUGCUGCUCGCUUACACUGCCAAAAACUUGGUUGCACAGGAUAAAGCAGUAAAUGUGAAAGGCCUACCAAGGCCCUAAAAAGAAGAGGUGGCAAGAAUGCAGCAACAACUUGGAGC
ensembl:lncRNA